UACGAAGGGGGCUAGCGUUGCUCGGAAUCACUGGGCGUAAAGGGCGCGUAGGCGGAUCUUUAAGUCGGGGGUGAAAGCCUGUGGCUCAACCACAGAAUUGCCUUCGAUACUGAAGAUCUCGAGACCGAAAGAGGUAAGUGGAACUGCGAGUGUAGAGGUGAAAUUCGUAGAUAUUCGCAAGAACACCAGUGGCGAAGGCGGCUUACUGGUCCGGUUCUGACGCUGAGGCGCGAAAGCGUGGGUAGCAAACAGG
rnacentral:rRNA from 1 species